rnacentral:pre_miRNA from 1 species
CAUAUACUCUCCCCGUCCGAAAAUACUUGUCAUUGAAAUGGAUGUAUCUAGAUGUAUUUUAGUUCUAGACACAUCCAUUUUAAUGACAAAUAAUUCCGGACGAAGAAAGUACAUG